GGGGCCGUAAUGGUUUCGACGGGGGUACAGAGGCAGGAUAAGCGGGCGGAUGCGCCUGGCAUCCCAAAAACGGGCAAUUAUAAAUUAAAGAACAACACUCGUUCUUAUCUCGUCGCCGCUUAAUGGCGACCGUCCCACCCGGGAGUUCCGCGGCCCGGGAUGGGGCGUCGAUCAGCGGAGAACGUGCGUGCGCUAAGCUUUGCGCGCACCAUGCAUCAUGAAGCUACCGACCCCGGUAUGUGUGACGGUUCACGACCGGGCGGGGGAAUCCUGAUAACCGUCUGCGCCCGGAGAAGGUCCUGAAGAAGUGCUUUCGGACGCGGGUUCGACUCCCGCCGGCUCCACCA
rnacentral:tmRNA from 1 species